UGGGCAACCUGCCCUUGACCCUGGAAUAACAGCUGGAAACAGCUGCUAAUACCGGAUACGACCUCCGAUGGCAUCAUCUGGAGGUGGAAAGCUCCGACGGUCAAGGAUGGGCUCGCGGCCUAUCAGCUUGUUGGUGAGGUAACGGCUCACCAAGGCUUCGACGGGUAGCCGGCCUGAGAGGCGACCGGCCACACUGGGACUGAGAUACGGCCCAGACUCCUACGGGAGCAG
rnacentral:rRNA from 1 species